rnacentral:tRNA from 1 species
GCGCCCGUAGCUCAGUCGGAUAGAGCGUCUGCCUCCGGAGCAGAAGGUCGCACGUUCGAGUCGUGCCGGGCGCGCCA